rnacentral:rRNA from 1 species
UACGUAGGUGGCAAGCGUUGUCCGGAUUUACUGGGUGUAAAGGGCGUGUAGGCGGGACUGCAAGUCAGAUGUGAAAUUCCGGGGCUCAACCCCGGCGCUGCAUCUGAAACUGCAGUUCUUGAGUGCUGGAGAGGAAAGCGGAAUUCCUAGUGUAGCGGUGAAAUGCGUAGAUAUUAGGAGGAACACCAGUGGCGAAGGCGGCUUUCUGGACAGUAACUGACGCUGAGGCGCGAAAGCGUGGGGAGCAAACAGG